rnacentral:rRNA from 1 species
GACGAACGCUGGCGGCGUGCUUAACACAUGCAAGUCGUACGGUAAGGCCCUUUCGGGGGUACACGAGUGGCGAACGGGUGAGUAACACGUGAGUAACCUGCCCACAACUUUGGGAUAACGCUAGGAAACUGGUGCUAAUACUGGAUAUGUGCUCCUGCUGCAUGGUGGGGGUUGGAAAGCUCCGGCGGUUGAGGAUGGACUCGCGGCCUAUCAGCUUGUUGGUGGGGUAGUGGCCUACCAAGGCGGCGACGGGUAGCCGGCCUGAGAGGGUGACCGGCCACAUUGGGACUGAGAUACGGCCCAGACUCCUACGGGAGGCAGCAGUGGGGAAUAUUGCACAAUGGGCGCAAGCCUGAUGCAGCAACGCCGCGUGCGGGAUGACGGCCUUCGGGUUGUAAACCGCUUUCAGCAGGGACGAAGCUUUUUGUGACGGUACCUGCAGAAGAAGCACCGGCUAACUACGUG